UACAGAGGUCCCAAGCGUUGUUCGGAUUCAUUGGGCGUAAAGCGCGUGUAGGCGGGUCGGCAAGUCAGGCGUGAAAUCCCCAGGCUCAACCUGGGAACUGCGCUUGAAACUGCCGGUCUUGAGUAUCGGAGAGGGUGGCGGAAUUCCUGGUGUAGAGGUGAAAUUCGUAGAUAUUGGGAAGAACACCGAUGGCGAAGGCAGCCAUCUGGACCGACACUGACGCUGAGGCGCGAAAGCGUGGGGAGCAAACAGG
rnacentral:rRNA from 1 species